GUGUCAGCCGCCGCGGUAAGACAGAAGGUGCAAGCGUUACUCGGAAUUACUGGGCGUAAAGCGUCUGUAGGUGUCUCGCCACGUCUGGCGUUAAAUUUCGGGGCUUAACCCUGAAUAUGUGCCGGAUACGAGCGGGAUCGAGUCAUUCAGAGGCAUCUGGAAUGUCGUGUGUAGGGGUAAAAUCCGUAGAUACACGAUGGAACGCCAAAAGCGAAGGCAGGAUGCUAGGAAUGUACUGACACUCAGAGACGAAAGCGUGGGGAGCAAAGGGGAUUAGAUACCCCCGUAGUCC
rnacentral:rRNA from 1 species